rnacentral:rRNA from 1 species
UACGUAGGGGGCAAGCGUUGUCCGGAUUUAUUGGGCGUAAAGAGCGUGUAGGCGGCUUUACAGGUCCGUUGUGAAAACUCGAGGCUCAACCUCGAGACGCCGGUGGAAACCGUAAAGCUAGAGUCCGGAAGAGGAGAGUGGAAUUCCUGGUGUAGCGGUGAAAUGCGCAGAUAUCAGGAAGAACACCGGUGGCGAAGGCGGUUCUCUGGGCCUUACCUGACGCUGAGGAGCGAAAGCCAGGGGAGCGAACGGG